rnacentral:rRNA from 1 species
UACGUAGGGUGCAAGCGUUAAUCGGAAUUACUGGGCGUAAAGGGUGCGUAGGCGGUUCGUUAAGUCUGUCGUGAAAUCCCCGGGCUCAACCUGGGAAUGGCGAUGGAUACUGGCGAGCUAGAGUGUGUCAGAGGAUGGUGGAAUUCCCGGUGUAGCGGUGAAAUGCGUAGAGAUCGGGAGGAACAUCAGUGGCGAAGGCGGCCAUCUGGGACAACACUGACGCUGAAGCACGAAAGCGUGGGGAGCGAUCCGG